rfam:Glycine max cultivar Williams 82 chromosome 19, whole genome shotgun sequence.
AGCCGUGUGAUAAGUACAGAGGAACUAUUCUAUUCUUUUGCCUUUUACUAAAGAAUAUUGUGUGCUUGUCACUUUAAGCGGCAUAAGCCAAUUUUUGAAUAAGGGUUUUUAGAUAGAUG